rnacentral:rRNA from 1 species
UACGGGGGGAGCAAGCGUUGUUCGGAUUUACUGGGCGUAAAGGGCGCGUAGGCGGCUGUGCAAGUCAGUUGUGAAAUCUCCGGGCUUAACUCGGAACGGUCAACUGAUACUGCUCGGCUAGAGUGCGGAAGGGGCAACUGGAAUUCUUGGUGUAGCGGUGAAAUGCGUAGAUAUCAAGAGGAACACCUGCGGCGAAGGCGGGUUGCUGGGCCGACACUGACGCUGAUGCGCGAAAGCCAGGGGAGCAAACGGG